rnacentral:rRNA from 1 species
UACAGAGGGUGCAAGCGUUGUUCGGAAUUAUUGGGCGUAAAGCGCGUGUAGGCGGCUUAGCAAGUCGGGUGUGAAAGCCCUCAGCUUAACUGAGGAAGUGCGCCCGAAACUGCAAAGCUUGAGUACCGGAGAGGAUGGCGGAAUUCCCCAAGUAGAGGUGAAAUUCGUAGAUAUGGGGAGGAACACCGGUGGCGAAGGCGGCCAUCUGGACGGAUACUGACGCUGAGACGCGAAAGCGUGGGUAGCAAACAGG